UACGUAGGGUGCAAGCGUUAAUCGGAAUUACUGGGCGUAAAGCGUGCGCAGGCGGUUAUGUAAGACAGAUGUGAAAUCCCCGGGCUUAACCUGGGAAUUGCAUUUGUGACUGCACGGCUAGAGUGUGUCAGAGGGGGGUAGAAUUCCACGUGUAGCAGUGAAAUGCGUAGAUAUGUGGAGGAAUACCGAUGGCGAAGGCAGCCCCCUGGGAUAACACUGACGCUCAU
rnacentral:rRNA from 1 species